GACUUCGCAGUCAGAAGAGCAGUGAACGUUUGCACGCUAGUGCUCCAUUUCUUCAUCUUAUGCAGUCCAGCAUCCCAGCCAAGGACUAGAGCACCCAGAGUGGGCGGCUCCUCCCGCCUCAACCAAUGUAAUCUUGACAACCCCCUCAUAUAUGCUUUAACAUUGGCUACCACAUUGGGUUUUCCUCUCUCUCACUGUGUGGAAAUCAUUGAACCGUUACAUUUUCCCUUAGACCCUUCUCACUCCUUUAAGCAGAAAAUGUUUAUUUAUUCAGCACGUAUACACAUAUGUCUGGGUGUAUUGCAUGUAUGUGGACAGGUGCACUGUGAUAUGGGGGUUGAGGUCAGAGGACAACUUAUGGAAGUCAGCUCUCUCCUGCUCUGUGGGUCCUGGGGAUCGGACUCAGGUUUGGCAAGCUCCUUCCUACAGAGCCAUCUUGACAGACUCAUUUCCACCCACUGGAGUAGGAUCCUUUUCUUUGGGGAUGUGGGUGAUGGUCUUGGACUCCACUCAGGCCAUCCCAGUGUCGUUGAAGAGUGGCUUCUAAAACAGGUAAAGAUGAGGAACCUUGUGGAAGGUUCUAGAAGUUCUUCACAUGGGGUAAAUCUGAGUAACUAGACUGCCAAGAGAGGGAAGAAAGAACUAGGGGACAAGAACCUGACAUUAGCCUAGCCUCUACUCCACCCCAGACACCUUGACCUCAUUCAGGGAUUCCUGUCAGCCAUUAUCAAGUUCAUGUUCUCCUUGAUGGAUGUCCAGAGAAACCAGAGAAGUCCCGGAGCUGGGUGCUGAUGGAGGAGGCUUUCUCCCAGCUUUGCUUUAAGCAGAGGAGAGAAGGAACACAUGGAAUUGGCCCUCCUCACACUAACUCUGUCUCUUGCAAGUGACUGGAUGGGACAGUCAAUGGGAGGGCUGCCUGUGUG
rnacentral:lncRNA from 1 species